UCGGGAAUGCCUACGCCUGCUUACCUGCCUAUUAGGCAUGGAAUAGGCACGUAGGCAGGCAAGAUGUAGGCACGAUG
ensembl:miRNA mir-8187 miscRNA